rnacentral:rRNA from 1 species
CUUGUACACACCGCCCGUCACACCAUGGGGGUGGGCUUCACCAGAAGUAGGUAGUCUAACCGCAAGGGGGACGCUUACCACGGUGAGAUUCAUGACUGGGGUG